rnacentral:rRNA from 1 species
UCSCCUGUUUAUCAAAAACAUAGCCAUUAGUAAUUAUUAUUGGUAAUUUYUGCUCAAUGAAGCUUAAAUAGCCGCAGUACCCUGACUGUGCAAAGGUAGCAUAAUAAAUUGGCUUAUAAUUAAAGUCUAGAAUGAAUGAAAUAAUGGAGAAUAACUGUAUCUUGAAUGUGGAGUGAAGUUGCUAAGCAUGUGAAAAUUCAUGCGGUUAAUUAAUAGACGAGAAGACCCUAGAAAUUUUAAGAACUUGCUAACGUGGUUUUUGUUGGGGCAACAGUGUAACAAGUAACUUACAUUUUUAACAAGAAAUAUAAUUGAUAGAAUAAAUUACUCUAGGGAUAACAGCGUAAUGUAUUAACGAUUGCGACCUCGAUGUUGGACUAGGAUACUGCGG